AGCCGCGAAUAGCUCAUUACAACAGUCGUAGUUUAUUAGAAAGUAUCUUCUGGAUAACUGUGGUAAUUCUAGAGCUAAUACAUGUUCUAAGCCCUGACUAACGAAAGGGUGCAUUUAUUAGAACAAAGCCAAUCAGACUUUUGUCUGUCUCAGGUUGACUCUGAAUAACUUUGCUAAUCGCACAGUCCUUGCACUGGCGAUGUAUCUUUCAAAUGUCUGCCUUAUCAACUGUUGAUGGUAGAUUAUGCGCCUACCAUGGUUGUAACGGGUAACGGAGAAUCAGGGUUUGAUUCCGGAGAGGGAGCCUGAGAAACAGCUACCACAUCCAAGGAAGGCAGCAGGCACGCAAAUUACCCACUCCCAGUUCGGGGAGGUAGUGACGAAAAAUAACGAGACGAUGCUCUACGAGUAUCGUCAUCGGAAUGAGUACAAUCUAAAUACUUUAACGAGUAUCUAUUGGAGGGCAAGUCUGGUGCCAGCAGCCGCGGUAAUUCCAGCUCCAAUAGCGUAUAUUAAAGUUGUUGCGGUUAAAAAGCUCGUAGUUGGAUCUGAGAUUGUGGGCGGCGGUCCUCAAAUGAGUUGUACUGCUCGUUCCGAUCUAAUCUGUUGGUUUGAGUGCAGUGCUCUUUACUGAGUGUUGUACGCUGCCAACUACUUUACUUUGAAGAAAUUAGAGUGCUCAAAGCAGGCGACUGCUCGAAUAUUGGUGCAUGGAAUAAUGGAAUAGGGCCUUGGCUCUAUUUUGUUGGUUUUAGGAGCACGAGGCAAUGAUUAAGAGGAACAGACGGGGGCAUUUGUAUUGCGGCG
rnacentral:rRNA from 1 species